AGAUGAAGAACGUAGCGAAAUGCGAUAAGUAAUGUGAAUUGCAGAAUUCAGUGAAUCAUCGAAUCUUUGAACGCACAUUGCGCCCUCUGGUAUUCCGGGGGGCAUGCCUGUUCGAGCGUCAUUAUAACUACUCAAGCUCUCGCUUGGUAUUGGGGCUCGCGGUUCCGCGGCCCCUAAAAUCAGUGGCGGUGCCUGUCGGCUCUACGCGUAGUAAUACUCCUCGCGAUUGAGUCCGGUAGGUCUACUUGCCAGCAACCCCCAAUUUUUACAGGUUGACCUCGGAUCAGGUAGGGAUACCCGCUGAACUUAAGCAUAUCAAUAAGCGGAGGA
rnacentral:misc_RNA from 1 species